AACACCGUGUGCUUAGCACAGAGGCUCAGGCGUGCUAAGUGCUCAAUGAAGGCAGCUCUUGAAGGGACACUAAAGGAUCCUCGCAGGCCCUUGUCCCCACCGCUGUCCCUCCCGGCGCCUGCCACAGGGUGUUCAUUGAGUGAAUGUGCGUAUUGCUGGAUGGGUGAGAGAAGGAAGGAAGGGAAGGAGGAAAGGACACACAAGGUCCAAGAACCUGAACUUGUAUAUAAAUUGGAACCAACAUGGACGGCAGGAAGGACAGAGCCCACAGGCCAUCACGGCCACAUCUGGGUUGACAGCUGCCCUGAUGACACAAGGUAUCCAGAGGAGAGAGGCACUCGGAGGGGGCGGGGGACCCGAGCCAGCGCUGGCUGCUUCCUCCAAGGCAGCCAGAAAGCCGCUCCUUGGAGAAGCUUCUAUGCCUCCAGCCUUUGGAUCUGGGCCCUCAAACUGAACUGCCCGCAGGGGUGGAGCCCUGGCUGUGACAGCAUUUUGAGACCAGAAGAAACGUACCCGUAUCUGUUGAAACUUGGACUUCUGUGUGCCUUGGAAGUUUUUUAUUGCCUGAUGGUUUUUAGUCUUAAAAACUUAUCUUUGGGCAGAGCCCUGGGAAGAGCACAGGACUGGGAAGCAGGGCUCUUCACAGAUGUACAUCAGAUGAGGUCAUCAGGUGGGUCCUAAUCCAGCACGCCUGGUGUCCUUCUAAGAGAGGAGGGAUCCAGAGACAGACACAUGACAUGCGACAAUGGAGGCGGAGAUUGAAUGAAUUCCAAGGAUGGCCAACAACCUCUAACGCUGGGAAGAGGCAGGAAGCAUCCUCCCUUAGAGCCUUCGGAGGGAGCUUAGUCCUGCCGACACCUUGAUCACGAACUUCUAGCCUCCCGAGCGGUGAGAGAAUAAAUUUCUGUCAUUCCACACCA